UACGUAGGGUGCAAGCGUUGUCCGGAAUUAUUGGGCGUAAAGAGCUCGUAGGCGGUUUGUCGCGUCUGCUGUGAAAACUCGGGGCUUAACCCCGGGCCUGCAGUGGGUACGGGCAGACUAGAGUGCGGUAGGGGAGACUGGAAUUCCGGGUGUAGCGGUGGAAUGCGUAGAGAUCCGGAAGAACACCGGUGGCGAAGGCGGCCUGCUGGGCUAUGGCUGACACUGAGGCGCGACAGCGUGGGGAGCAACAGG
rnacentral:rRNA from 1 species